rnacentral:rRNA from 1 species
UACAGAGACUGCAAGCGUUAUUCGGACUCACUGGGCGUAAAGGGUGCGCAGGCGGCCAAGUGUGUUAGGCGUGAAAGCCCGGGGCUUAACCCCGGAAUUGCACCUAAAACUACAUGGCUAGAGCAUUGGAGAGGGUAGCGGAAUUCACGGUGUAGCAGUGAAAUGCGUAGAUAUCGUGAGGAACACCAGAGGCGAAGGCGGCUACCUGGACAAUUGCUGACGCUCAGGCACGAAAGCGUGGGGAGCAAACAGG